ensembl:misc_RNA Metazoa_SRP Metazoan signal recognition particle RNA
GCCGGGCGCGGUGGCUCACGCCUGUAAUCCCAGCACUUUAGGAGGCCGAGGUGGGUGGAUCACCUGAGGUCAGGAGUUCGAGACCAGCCUGACCAACAUGGAGAAACCCCAUCUCUA